GCCACUUGACUGUGGAAAGGUAGAGGCAACAUUCCUUCAACGAUGUUCUCAAAGUCGGAGAGCAUUCUUAGGGUCUUGCUCGUCCGACUUAUUUGGGGAUCGGACUCGAGUMUGCUGCGUAAUCCUUCCACUWGUUGUGGAAAGGUAGAGGCAACAUUCGUUCAACGAUGUUCUCAAAGUCGGAGAGCGUUCUUAGGGUCARGCCCCGAGGCAACCAAAUGGGCCACGAGGAUAUAUAUCAUGAGCGACAUCCAAAACCAWUAACGAGAGCRAGGCUGCCUUGAUAGCACCGGGCASRAGAACCAGCACCACGAGGCAACGCCACAAUCGCCAUAUGGCCGCAGCARCACACCCAAAGGCGUCCACCACGAGGCAACUAUGUAUGAAGCACCAAUACCCAUAGGUCAGGUAACAUCACGCAAGCACUUGAAAGGCAAAGUAAGAUAGCUCACACAAAUGGCAAGACACGGCGCCAAUAGUCGGCCGCACA
rnacentral:misc_RNA from 1 species